AUGGCGCCCACGCCCAACUUCCUCUUCGGCGCCGCCCCGGAGGACACGUCGGCCCAUGCCGUCGUGCCGGACCUCUCCGACGCGCUGGCGCAGGCGCGGCUGCGCCGGCAGGCGGCGUCCGGACCGGGGAGGCGGCAGGCGGCCUCCCGCGGCGGCGGCGGCGGGGCGCUGCCCAGGAAGACCCCGCAGCGCGGCCUCGGUGUGGCGGAGCUCGAGCGCCUGCGCUGUGGCGGCGGGGCGCCGCCCAGGAUAACCCCGCAGCGCGGCCUCAGCAUGGCGGAGCUCGAGCGCCUGCGCUGCGGCAGCGUCGACCCGCUGCACGACCCCAACGCCGCCGCCAACCUGCAGGCGCAAGGCAACUCCGUCGUCGUGCAGCAGACGAUGGUGGGCUUGGCAGAUAGAGGAACACAGGCCCCUCCUGCCGCCAACGCCACCAACGCGUCAUACUACUCAAUCCACUAUGUCGCCUCCGCCAUCACCAUGACCGCCGCUCGUAAGGAGACGGCCGGAGAAGGGUUCUCGGUGGCACCGGAGGGGAGGAAGGAGAUGCGGGAGAUCGAGUUCUUCCCGACGAGGAUCAGCAGCCUCGGCGGCGGUCCCGACGAGUCCGAGCUGCGCAGGACGCCGCCCUUGUCCUCCUCGCCGCCCGGCGGCGUCGAUGGCUCCCUGGACCUAUCCCUCAAGCUCUAG
rnacentral:rRNA from 1 species